CAGAUACAGAUCAGUACUAUAAAUACAUUGAUAGAUUCCUGUAAAGGAUUCCAUAUAGCAUGUGCUGUAAUUAUUGUCAUGACUACAGUUGUCCAUUUUAUAGGUCACAUGUUUAAUGACGUCAAUUUUUCCCGUUAUUAUAAUGACGUGUAUACAGAAGUUAAUGGCGCCGAAUAUUCACAACAGGAUCCCGUAUUUAUAGCAAUUAGAAG